UACAGAGGGGCAAGCGUUGUUCGGAAUUACUGGCGUAAGGGCGCGUAGGCGGCCUUCUAAGUCGAACGUGAAAUCCCCGGGCUCAACCGGGAACUGCGUCCGAUACUGGAAGGCUUGAAUCCGGAGAGGGAUGCGGAAUUCCAGGUGUAGCGGUGAAAUGCGUAGAUAUCUGGAAGGACACCGGUGGCGAAGGCGGCAUCCUGGACCGGCAUUGACGCGUG
rnacentral:rRNA from 1 species